rnacentral:piRNA from 1 species
UAUUUUCGGAAAAUUUGAUUU